AGUACUCUGUAAACAUCGGACAAUAGCAAGAAAAUGGAUUUUAAACCCUGUAUGGGUUCCUUAAUCACUCAGAAUAGUAUAAUCUUGCUUUGAUUACCAGUCAGGACAAAAAGACAGAGUCUUGCUCUGUCGCCCAGGCUGGAGUGCAGUGGCGCGGCCUCAGCUCACUGCAACCUUCACCUCCCAGGUUCAAGUGAUUCUCCUGCCCCAGCCUCCCAAGUGGAGUCUCACUCUGUCACCCAGGCUGGAGUGCAAUGGCACAAUCUCAGCUCACUGCAACCUCCGCCUUCCGGGUUCAAGCAAUACUCCUGCCUCAGCCUCCUGAGUAGCAGGGACUACAGGUUCCAAACACUCAAAUCCAACCAGCCUGGGGUGGAAAAGACCGUAUUUGUGAGAUGCAGAACCUGCAAAUACAAGGAGCUGACUCCUCCCAUGAGCGGGUUCUGCAGCGGAUACCAAGGAUGACCGUACCUCAACGUUCCCUCCUAGAACUUACAAUAUCAAUGCUUAGCUUUCUUGCCAGCUCCUCAUCACUUUUCAGUUGUUCUUCCAUCGCUCUUCGCCUUUUUUCUGCCUGUCUUUUUUCCUCUUCUUCCUCCUCUGCCAAUAACCUCUGUAUGUAUUCUUCACUGGCUUUGUUUUCUUCUUCCUCGCUGGCCCGUCGCUCUGCCUCCACCUUAAAAGUGAUUAAUAAAGAGCAAUCCUUCUCUGAA